UACGUAGGGAGCAAGCGUUGUCCGGAAUCAUUGGGCGUAAAGGGCGCGUAGGUGGCCUUCUAAGUCGAACGUGAAAUCCCUGGGCUCAACCCAGGAACUGCGUCCGAUACUGGAAGGCUUGAAUCCGGGAGAGGGAUGCGGAAUUCCAGGUGUAGCGGUGAAAUGCGUAGAUAUCUGGAGGAACACCGGUGGCGAAGGCGGCAUCCUGGACCGGCAUUGACGCUGAGGCGCGAAAGCUAGGGGAGCAAACGGGG
rnacentral:rRNA from 1 species